CUGCAAAACAAUGACUAAUUAGGAUCAUCGCAGACAACGGACAUUUCAUGAGCUGUUACAUAACACUAAUAUUGUUUAUAUGGAAAUUAUAAAAUUAGAACAGUGCAACAGUAAGGUCACUGAGUGAGAUAAGAUACCAUGUGGCAUACCUAGGUAGGAAAAUUAGAAAAGUAAAAGAACUGUUCUGUGUAUUAUUGCAGGUUAACAGGUGAACUGAAAUGGUAUUAUCCACCAGUUAGGUUAGGUUUUUCUGUUUGGAACUUAAGGCAAAAUAUUCUCAAAGAUCUAAGACUUUUUAUAAGUACACAAAAUGCCUAUU